UACGUAGGGUGCAAGCGUUAUCCGGAAUUAUUGGGCGUAAAGAGCGUGUAGGCGGCCAGAUAGGUCAGCUGUGAAAACUCGAGGCUCAACCUCGAGACGUCGGUUGAAACCAUCUGGCUAGAGUCCGGAAGAGGAGAGUGGAAUUCCCGGUGUAGCGGUGAAAUGCGCAGAUAUCGGGAAGAACACCCGUGGCGAAGGCGGCUCUCUGGGACGGUACUGACGCUGAGACGCGAAAGCGUGGGGAGCGAACAGG
rnacentral:rRNA from 1 species